rnacentral:rRNA from 1 species
AGCGAACGCUGGCGGCAGGCUUAACACAUGCAAGUCGAGCGGGCCUUUCGGGGUCAGCGGCGGACGGGUGAGUAACGCGUGGGAACGUGCCCUCUGGUUCGGAAUAACUCAGGGAAACAUGAGCUAAUACCGGAUACGCCCUUUUGGGGAAAGGCUUGCUGCCGGAGGAUCGGCCCGCGUCUGAUUAGCUAGUUGGUGAGGUAACGGCUCACCAAGGCGACGAUCAGUAGCUGGUCUGAGGGGAUGAUCAGCCACACUGGGACUGAGACACGGCCCAGACUCCUACGGGAGGCAGCAGUGGGGAAUAUUGGACAAUGGGCGCAAGCCUGAUCCAGCCAUGCCGCGUGAGUGAUGAAGGCCUUAGGGUUGUAAAGCUCUUUUAUCCGGGACGAUAAUGACGGUACCGGAGGAAUAAGCCCCGGCUAACUUCGUG